UAAUGCUAGUACUCGUGUGUACGCAAUCUGUACAUUCAGAAAUGAUUCUGAUCUUCAGGAGGUGAACAGAGUUAUCGUGUACCGAACAUUCCGAGACAACACCGAGAAUAUAUCUACAUUAGGACAACAUACAUUGGACAAUAACAGCCUCUACGUAAAUGGUUACCAUGAAACAACUCCUUUACCGACGACAUUACCAACUGUGACCACAACACAA